GUGAGGCGGGAUGCAGCUGCUGAAAUCCGACUAGAUCCAGCUGAAGAGAGAAGGGAGCAGGCACCUCAGCGGGCAGCCAGGGUCUUUGUGGAUUGAAGACCAAUUAGGAAGUUCACGGAAGGAAACUUUAUUGAAGGCACCAUGUAAACAGGAACCUCGCUAGCUUUGGCCACAAUCUGAUUGGCAGCCAUCUUGAUAGAAAACAACAGCAUGUUGGAAGAUUCCAGUCAGACGGGCGAGCGAGGCUCUUUGUGGAUUUGACGCCGCAGGAAACUUCUCGAGAUCUUGCAAACAACGGCCUGCAUUGCACUGCCAAUGUUCCCACAAGCCCACCUGGCUGCCAUUGACGUUAACUCGGAGAGGAAGACAAUCACAGACAGGUGGCUCCUCUUAUGACCCGGAUGUACUUAUGCCAUGAUCCUUGGUGACCUGAACAGGAAGUAGCCCAAGUGACCUGGACCCCCACCCCACUCCCAUGAUGCCUUCCAGGAAGGAAGGAUACUCUUUCUCUUUCCCUUCUCUUUUUUCUGGCCAAACAGGAAAAAUAUGGAUGUAUUGACUCCUGGUUCACCUUUUUGCUUCCUUUUAAUCGCCGUUUGUUUCAGCGAUGUCCAAAUAACUCUCGUUUCUUUGACUGCUCAUACAUUUACAUCCAGUACGUCGUUUGAAUACAUUUCAUUUCAUGAUUUCAUUUUACUGGAGGAAACCCAACAUCAGGCUUCUGGGUUGAGUCUGCACGAAAUCGAGCAUUUGGGGCUGGUUAGCCAGAGUUUCUUUUUUGGUUUGUUUUGUUUUGUUUUGUUUUUUGUUUGGCUGCACUUUAAGGAAAGGAAAUGUGGAUGAAGAAGAAGGUGAGGAAGUCAUGAGCGCGUUUAGAUGUUGUGCAGUGAUGGCAGCAGUGAGCAGGAAGAUGGAAGCUUCCUGAGAACGUGGCCAUGUUUCUGUCUGUGCGAUUGGAAAAAACAUUUUUUUUUUUUUGUUGGUGAUGUUUGUAAUGAGGACAGCAGAGCAGGUGAUUUGUGGUGAUCACUCCAGCGUGGAGGACCAUUGUGGCGCUCAUUUUCUUCUUAGGCCAGCACAUUUAACGUACCACAUUCCGCGAAUUUCCAUAUUCCACAAAAAUCCACACUUUUCACUGUAAAACUCCCAAAUUUAAGAUUAUUUUUUUUUGGGUGAUGGUGGUGGUUUUGUUUGUUAACCUCCAACCCGGACAUUUUCAUUUCAACUCCUUCAGGGCAUUUUGGGAAUCAUUCCCAUUCCCAGAUUUUACUAAUUUCUCUCGAUUGUGCGCCUUUCUUGACUGAUUGAAGCUUCAAAAUGUUCAACUCAUUCAGGACAGUUUGAGAACAAUCCCAAUUCUCCAAAUUCCUGCAGUUUCAAAAUAAAACUCCC